rnacentral:rRNA from 1 species
UACGUAGGGGGCAAGCGUUGUCCGGAAUCAUUGGGCGUAAAGAGCGCGUAGGCGGUCCGGUAAGUCAGCUGUGAAAGUCAGGGGCUCAACCCUUGAAAGCCGGUUGAUACUGUCGGGCUAGAGUCCGGAAGAGGCGAGUGGAAUUCCCGGUGUAGCGGUGAAAUGCGCAGAUAUCGGGAAGAACACACGUGGCGAAGGCGGCUCUCUGGAACGGUACUGACGCUGAGACGCGAAAGCGUGGGGAGCGAACAGG